AUGAUUUUAUCUCUAACAAAGUUUAAAUGUCUUUUGUGUAUACAGACAGCUGUAUUUUACUUUCCGAAGCAAAAAGAUUCUGUGAAGAAAAUUAAAUCCUUUUAUUACAUGGAGAACAGAUUGGAAGUUCCUGAAUUCCAAAUCCUUUGUGAAUUGCACUUUGUUCUGGAUGCAGAUGGAAGUGUAACUGUCCUGGUGAGCAUUUGCCAUCAUCAUAAAUCAUUGUUCCCAUAUGGAGAUGGACCACCACUCUCCACACCACGAGGAUGAUAUCGUCACACACCCGGGACUCUCUCAGGCAAAACUAUGUGAAUUCCUACUUCUUUUCUCAGAAGGCAAGAAGAUGAUGGGCUUCAGUGCACAUCCAACUGCAAUCACACCAGUCGGACAAGAGUACUAGUCUAGCUAGGAAAACUAUGCCCAAUCUUUUUGCUAGGCAUGUGGGCUCUGGGAAUACGCAGUAUCAAGGAAAGCAAAUUUGGCUGCCAGCCAUUACUAACAGAACAGUGAUCUCUGGUCAUCAUGACCCCAGGACAGCACAGGCCAUGCAGAUAAGGCGACUGGGUGGUAGAGGGGUGUGAUAGUGCAGGUGGGAGCUGGCUGAAAUAGCUGGGACUGUAAACGAAACCGCACUGAAAUGACUUGUAAUCGCAGCAAAAGCUCGAGCAGUUCGUGAUGAACACUGGUGAGAGUUGUCUGGUGUCACCGCAUCUUUCUACUUUGAUGGCCCCUGCUUGCAGAGGUCCUGCACAGACAUGUCAAAGUAGGAGUGAAAAAGGAACUGAGUUUCAGCACUCCACCAAGCUGCAGGAUUAGUUUUAAACUCUGUUUUAGGGAUAUGUGAAAAAUAGGGAUGUUCAAAAGAUGAUCAGCUGUAGGAUUAAACACGCCAUCCUGACGGCAGAGACGGGUCAGGUUCAUCAGGGAAAAGACUUUGUGUUGUCAGAUAAAUGUUGCCAAAUGUUUUGGUGUGAGUUACAAAAUGACUUAGCUUGCAUUAACU
rnacentral:lncRNA from 1 species